UCAAGGCGCUUUAAACGUUAU
rnacentral:piRNA from 1 species